GAUGAAGAACGCAGUGAAAUGCGAUAAGUAGUGUGAAUUGCAGAAUUCAGUGAAUCAUCGAAUCUUUGAACGCACAUUGCGCCCCUUGGUAUUCCAUGGGGCAUGCCUGUUCGAGCGUCAUUUGUACCUUCAAGCCUUGCUUGGUGUUGGGUGUUUGUCUCUCCUCUGCGCGCAGACUCGCCUCAAAACAAUUGGCAGCCGGCGUAUUGAUUUCGGAGCGCAGUACAUCUCGCGCUUUGCACUCAGAACGACGACGUCCAAAAGUACAUUUUUACACUCUUGACCUCGGAUCAGGUAGGGAUACCCGCUGAACUUAAGCAUAUCAAUAAGCGGAGGA
rnacentral:misc_RNA from 1 species